AUUGAACGCUGGCGGCAGGCCUAACACCUGCAAGUCGAGCGGAGCGGCGGACGGGUGAGUAAUGUAUGGGGAUCUGCCCGAUAGAGGGGGAUAACUACUGGAAACGGUAGCUAAUACCGCAUACUAUCAGAUGAGCCUAGGUCGGAUGAGCUAGUUGGUGGGGUAAAGGCCUACCAAGGCGACGAUCCGUAACUGGUUUGAGAGGAUGAUCAGUCACACUGGAACUGAGACACGGUCCAGACUCCUACGGGAGGCAGCAGUGGGGAAUAUGGGACAAUGGGCGAAAGCCUGAUCCAGCCAUGCCGCGUGUGUGAAGAAGGUCUUCGGAUUGUAAAGCACUGUAAGUUGGGAGGCGUUACCAACAGAAUAAGCACCGGCUAACUUCGUGCCAGCCGCCGCGGUAAUAC
rnacentral:rRNA from 1 species